rnacentral:rRNA from 1 species
CAGAGGGUGCGAACGUUGUUCGGAAUCACUGGGCAUAAAGCGCACGUAGGCGGCACCGCAAGUGUGGAGUGAAAUCCCACGGCUUACCCGUGGAACUGCUUGGCAGACUGCGGUGCUAGAGGUUGGUAGGGGAGAGCGGAACUCUUGGUGGAGCGGUGAAAUGCGUAGAUAUCAAGAGGAACACCGGUGGCGAAGGCGGCUCUCUGGUCCAAUCCUGACGCUGAGGUGCGAAAGCUAGGGGAGCAAACGGGAUUAGAUACCCCGGUAGUCCUAGCUGUAAACGAUGGGCACUAGCUUGGGGUCACCCCGUGUGAUCCCAGGUGAAGCGAAUGUGGUAAGUGCCCCCGCCUGGGGAGUACGGUCGCAAGGCUG